CAGCAGCCGCGGUAAUACGAAGGGUGCAAGCGUUAAUCGGAAUUACUGGGCGUAAAGCGUGCGUAGGCGGUGAGUUAAGUCUGCUGUGAAAUCCCCGGGCUCAACCUGGGAACUGCAUUUGUGACUGUAUAGCUAGAGUACGGCAGAGGGGGAUGGAAUUCCGCGUGUAGCAGUGAAAUGCGUAGAUAUGCGGAGGAACACCGAUGGCGAAGGCAAUCCCCUGGGCCUGUACUGACGCUCAUGCACGAAAGCGUGGGGAGCAAACAGGAUUAGAUACCCCCGUAGUCCCUGUCUCUUAUAC
rnacentral:rRNA from 1 species